CUGACUCUCUUUUCGGACUCAGCCCACCUGCACCCAGGUGAUUAAAAGCUUUAUUGCUCACACAAAGCCUGUUUGGUGGUCUCUUCACACGGACGCGCCUGAAAUUUGGUGCUGCGACUUGGAUUGGGGGACCUCCCUUGGGAGCUCAAUCCCCUGUCCUCCUGUUCUUUGCUCCGUGAGAAGGAUCCACCUACGACCUCAGGUCCUCAGACCGACCAGCCCAAGGAACAUCUCACCAAUUUUAAAUCAGCCACUUCCAGAGCCCCUGGAACUCUGGCCCAAGGCUCUCUGACUGCUUCCCAGAUCUUCUCGGCUUAGCGGCUGAAGACUGACGCUGCCCAAUCGCCUCGGAAGCCCCCUAGACCAUCACGGACGCCGAGCUUCAGGGCACCAGAAAACCCCAAGACCAGGAUUGAGCAUUCCUUUCAUUCAGCCACAAGAGAGGACCCAGGAGCCAAAAGAAGCCAGGAAGCC